GAAAUGCGAUAAGUAAUGUGAAUUGCAGAAUUCAGUGAAUCAUCGAAUCUUUGAACGCACCUUGCGCUCCUUGGUAUUCCUUGGAGCAUGCCUUUUGAGUAUCAUGAAAUCUUCAAAGUAAAUCUUUUGUUAACUCAAUUGGUUUCUACUUUGGUAUUGGAGGUCUUUGCAGCUUCACACCUGCUCCUCUUUGUUCAUUAGCUGGAUCUCAGUGUUAUGCUUGGUUCCACUCGGCGUGAUAAGUUAUCUAUCGCUGAGGACACUGUAAAAGGUGGCCAAGGUAAAUGCAGAUGAACCGCUUCUAAUAGUCCAUUGACUUGGACAAUACUUUUAUGAUCUGAUCUCAAAUCAGGUAGGACUACCCGCUGAACUUAAGC
rnacentral:misc_RNA from 1 species